rnacentral:rRNA from 1 species
AAAGAAAGCGUAAUAGCUCACUGGUCGAGUCGGCCUGCGCGGAAGAUGUAACGGGGCUAAACCAUGCACCGAAGCUGCGGCAGCGACGCUUAUGCGUUGUUGGGUAGGGGAGCGUUCUGUAAGCCUGUGAAGGUGUGCUGUGAGGCAUGCUGGAGGUAUCAGAAGUGCGAAUGCUGACAUAAGUAACGAUAAAGCGGGUGAAAAGCCCGCUCGCCGGA